UAAUGUCUGGGAAACUGCCUGAUGGAGGGGAAUAACUACUGGAAACGGUAGCUAAUACCGCAUAAUGUCGCAAGACCAAAGUGGGGGACCUUCGGGCCUCAUGCCAUCAGAUGUGCCCAGAUGGGAUUAGCUAGUAGGUGGGGUAACGGCUCACCUAGGCGACGAUCCCUAGCUGGUCUGAGAGGAUGACCAGCCACACUGGAACUGAGACACGGUCCAG
rnacentral:rRNA from 1 species